GGCCUCGUAGCUCAGUUGGUAGAGCAUGCGCGUACAAAGCGUAGGCGGCGUCCAUGCGUGAGUUCGAAUCUCACCGGGGCUA
rnacentral:tRNA from 1 species